GACGAACGCUGGCGGCGUGCUUAACACAUGCAAGUCGAACGGAAAGGCCCUGCUUUUGUGGGGUGCUCGAGUGGCGAACGGGUGAGUAACACGUGAGUAACCUGCCCUUGACUUUGGGAUAACUUCAGGAAACUGGGGCUAAUACCGGAUAGGAGCUCCUGCUGCAUGGUGGGGGUUGGAAAGUUUCGGCGGUUGGGGAUGGACUCGCGGCUUAUCAGCUUGUUGGUGGGGUAGUGGCUUACCAAGGCUUUGACGGGUAGCCGGCCUGAGAGGGUGACCGGCCACAUUGGGACUGAGAUACGGCCCAGACUCCUACGGGAGGCAGCAGUGGGGAAUAUUGCACAAUGGGCGGAAGCCUGAUGCAGCAACGCCGCGUGCGGGAUGACGGCCUUCGGGUUGUAAACCGCUUUCGCCUGUGACGAAGCGUGAGUGACGGUAAUGGGUAAAGAAGCACCGGCUAACUACGUGCCAGUAGCCGCGGUGAUACGUAGGGUGCGAGCGUUGUCCGGAUUUAUUGGGCGUAAAGGGCUCGUAGGUGGUUGAUCGCGUCGGAAGUGUAAUCUUGGGGCUUAACCCUGAGCGUGCUUUCGAUACGGGUUGACUUGAGGAAGGUAGGGGAGAAUGGAAUUCCUGGUGGAGCGGUGGAAUGCGCAGAUAUCAGGAGGAACACCAGUGGCGAAGGCGGUUCUCUGGGCCUUUCCUGACGCUGAGGAGCGAAAGCGUGGGGAGCGAACAGGCUUAGAUACCCUGGUAGUCCACGCUGUAAACGGUGGGUACUAGGUGUGGGGUCCAUUCCACGGGUUCCGUGCCGUAGCUAACGCUUUAAGUACCCCGCCUGGGGAGUACGGCCGCAAGGCUAAAACUCAAAGGAAUUGACGGGGCCCCGCACAAGCGGCGGAGCAUGCGGAUUAAUUCGAUGCAACGCGUAGAACCUUACCUGGGUUUGACAUGGAUCGGGAGUGCUCAGAGAUGGGUGUGCCUCUUUUGGGGUCGGUUCACAGGUGGUGCAUGGCUGUCGUCAGCUCGUGUCGUGAGAUGUUGGGUUAAGUCCCGCAACGAGCGCAACCCUUGUUCACUGUUGCCAGCACGUUAUGGUGGGGACUCAGUGGAGACCGCCGGGGUCAACUCGGAGGAAGGUGGGAAUGACGUCAAGUCAUCAUGCCCCUUAUGUCCAGGGCUUCACGCAUGCUACAAUGGCUGGUACAGAGAGUGGCGAGCCUGUGAGGGUGAGCGAAUCUCGGAAAGCCGGUCUCAGUUCGGAUUGGGGUCUGCAACUCGACCUCAUGAAGUCGGAGUCGCUAGUAAUCGCAGAUCAGCAACGCUGCGGUGAAUACGUUCCCGGGGCU
rnacentral:rRNA from 1 species